GACGGAGGAUGCAAGCGUUAUCCGGAAUUAUUGGGCGUAAAGCGUCCGCAGGUGGCUGUUCAAGUCUGCUGUCAAAGCGCAGAGCUUAACUCUGUACAGGCGGUGGAAACUGAAUAGCUAGAGUAUGGUAGGGGUAGAGGGAAUUCCCGGUGUAGCGGUGAAAUGCGUAGAUAUCGGGAAGAACACCAGUGGCGAAAGCGCUCUACUGGGCCAAAACUGACACUGAGGGACGAAAGCUAGGGGAGCGAAAGGG
rnacentral:rRNA from 1 species